rnacentral:tRNA from 1 species
UCGGGGGUCGUCUAGCGGGCUAGGACGCCAGGUUUUGGUCCUGGAGACGGGGGUUCGAUCCCUCCCCCCCGAG